rnacentral:rRNA from 1 species
UACGUAGGGUGCGAGCGUUGUCCGGAAUUACUGGGCGUAAAGAGCUCGUAGGUGGUUUGUCGCGUUGUUCGUGAAAACCGGGGGCUUGAACCCUCGGCGUCGGGCGAUACGGGGCAGACGUUGAGUACUGCAGGGGAGGACUGGAAUUCCUGGUGUAGCGGUGGAAUGCGCAGAUAUCAGGAGGAACACCGGUGGCGAAGGCGGGUCUCUGGGCAGUAACUGACGCUGAGGAGCGAAAGCGUGGGGAGCGAACAGG